GGCAGCGUGACGAGCUCCGAGCAGGAGAUGGGCUCGCGGCCGAGGGUAGGAGAAACUUAACCGUUUCGCCUAAGCCGCGGCGCGUCCUAUCUUGAGACAAGCCUUCCGCCGACAUUUAAAGCGAAUUUAUAAUAUGAAAACAAGGAUGGGGUGGAGAAUCCAGCAUUCUGUUGAAGCAGAAUUAAGAAAAGUGUAAUGUACCUUCUCUUUCUCUGUACAAUCCAAUUUUAAACUCUGUUUAAGACUAAAUGGUGACAAAUGGAUACACAAAUCCCUCCGCAAACUGACUGAGCAAGAGGAAGAGCAGGAAUGAGGAUAAAGGAAGGCAGCCUCGGUAACUCUGGAAGUCAGAAAAAUGAUUAAAGAUGUUAACAGUGGCUAUAGAAAAUCUAUGCAUCCCUGUUAAAAUGCCAGGUUUUUGAAAUGUAAAAAACAACAAAUCAAACCAAGAUAAAUCACUUCAUAAUUUUUUCCACCUUUAACCUAUAAGAUGUACAAUUCAAUAGAAAAACAAGCUGAAAUCUUUUAGGGAUAAAAAAAAUAAAAAUAAAAAACUUGCACUACUGUGCUUGCAUAAGUUUUUUCACCCUUAAGCUAAUACUUUGUUAACAUACUUUUUUAUUUUAGGACAGCAUUCAGUCUUUCGAGGUAGGAGCCUAUCAACAUGGCACAUCCUUCCUUGGGAAUAUUUGUCCACUCUUCCUUGCAAAACAAGUCCAAAUCUGUUAGAUUGUGAGGGCAGUGAUAAUGUGCACAGCCUUCUUCAGCUCACCCAGAGAUUUUCAAUUGGAUUUAAGUCCGGGCUCUGGCUGGGGCAUUCCAAAACUUUGAUUUUCCUCUGAUGAAGCUAUUCUUUUGUUGAUUUGGGACAACUCUUUGAGUUGUUGUCAUGUUGAAAGGUGAAAUUCCUCUUCAUUUUCAGCAUUUUAGCAGAGGCUUGAAGGUUUUGUGCCAAAAUUGACUGAUAUUUGGAACUGUUCAUAAUUCCUUCCACUUCGACUAAAGCCUCAGUUCCAGCUGAAGAAAAGCAACCCCAAAGCAUAAUGCUGCCACCACAAUACUGCCCUGUAGGUAUGGUGUACUUUUAGUAAUGCACAAUGUUGUCUUUGCGCCAAAACACACUUUUUGGAAUUAUGGCCAAAAAGUUCUAUCUUGCUACCCUAGCCCACAGCCCAGACAUACGAAGAAUACAGGAGACUGUGUCACAUGUAGUACACAACCACUACUUGCCAGAAAUUUCUGCAACUUCUUUAAUUGUAGGCCUCUUGUCAGCCCCUUGGUCCAGUUUUUUUAUUUUAUUUUAAUUUUUUCUCUUAAAGAUGAUACAGACCACCCAUUACGUCCAAUUUAUUCAUACAAUGUUGACUUCACACUUUCUAGGCCAUUUUAUGUAUGCUACAACUUUGAUUGGACUCUGUAGACUUCUGGCUCUGGAUCCUUAAACUCUUGGCUUCUAGUCAUAUUGGCAACACCAACAUUGUAUCCUGACUAUCAGACAGGGUCUCUUUUGUGGUUCAAGUGAUGAAAUGUGCAUUGUGAAGUAAUGAAAAUGCUAUUUUGGCCUCUGCAACCUAAGUUACUUAAAUAUUCCUGCUGCCAGGUUGAUAGCACAAAAUAGUGAGAUUUGUGUCAGUAAUUUUGAUAGGAAUGCCUGUAAUUGUCAGAGAGAAUUAAUGACUCAUGAAGAAAAUAAAUCUCUUUUGUUUG